rnacentral:lncRNA from 1 species
GCACCCGGAUUGAUAGCAGAAUUGUCAAAAAUGGUGCACCACCACGGACCGCAUAUUUCACUCGGACGUAACGACAUCCGGUAGGACAGCAGGAAUUUGAUUUUCAUAAGGUACGGCAGCAAGAAUGAUGGCAGUGAACGGCCAGGUAUGGCUCUAAAAUAUGUAAUCUUGUAAUAACUUUGAAUGGUCCUUUAAAAUAUAUGAUGAAUAUAGUGAUAAAUUAUAACAAUCAAGAGAUACAUACACAAGAAAUUUGAUUAAAACUACCGCAUCCUCUGGUUCCUUGAGAUGGGCACUGCACUUCUGCUUCUCGGAUAGAGCGGAACUCCAACAACAGCAUCUCCAGCGAAUUCCAUGGGUCGAUCUUCAUCGAUUCUUCCAAACGCUGCCACACUUUGACUCCUGGGCACAACACCAGACGGAGGAACGUCCGGGGCUAGUUUCUUCUGCGAUGCAGCACGAACAAGCUCCGCGUAGUCUUGAUCACUUGUAUGGGUAUGGACGCUACUGUUCCUGGACAUAGCCAUGCCAGCCGGAUAUACACCUCCGAAGUUUCUAUUGUCUGCGCAACGAAUCAUGUUGUUGAUGUAUAAAUCUUUUACACGUCCUAAUGCUCGGAUCGGGGCCUUCAGGUACCAUGAAAACUUGUUCUUUCUCUGCCGUUCUUGGCUGCCGUUGGGAUUUGCGGCCAUCGAUGAUAUGUAUAUGGACGG